rnacentral:rRNA from 1 species
UUUCCUACGGGGCGCAGCAGUCGAGAAUCAUUCACAAUGGGGGGAACCCUGAUGCAGCGACGCCGCGUGAGCGAAGAAGUAUUUCGGUAUGUAAAGCUCUAUCAGCAGGGAAGAAAAUGACGGUACCUGACUAAGAAGCCCCGGCUAACUACGUGCCAGCAGCCGCGGUAAUACGUAGGGGGCAAGCGUUAUCCGGAUUUACUGGGUGUAAAGGGAGCGCAGGCGGCGCGGUAAGUCUGAUGUGAAAGCCCGGGGCUCAACCCCGGGACUGCAUUGGAAACUGUCGUGC